GGUCCAGUGGUCUAGUGGUUAUGAUUUCUGUCUCACAGUGAGAUACGCGCACAGAAGGUCCCCGGUUCGACCCCGGGCUGAACCA